ACAUCCCGGAGACCUUAGGAAACUAGGGGUGCUUCCAUCUGGAAGAAUCUGGAGACAGGUGCUGCAUGGCUGUCGUCAGCUCGUGUCGUGAGAUGUUGGGUUAAGUCCCGCAACGAGCGCAACCCUUGCCUUUAGUUGCCAGCAGUUCGGCUGGGCAACUCUAAAGGGACUGCCGGUGGUUAAACCGGAGGAAGGUGGGGAUGACGUCAAGUCCUCAUGGCCUUUAUGACCAGGGCUACACACGUACUACAAUGGCCGAUACAAAGGGCAGCGACACUGCGAGGUGAAGCCAAUACCCGUAAAAUCGGUCUCAGUCCGGAUUGGAGUCUGCAACUCGACUCCAUGAAGUUGGAAUCGCUAGUAAUCGUGGAUCAGCAUGCCACGGUGAAUACGUUCCCGGGCCUU
rnacentral:rRNA from 1 species